GGGAAUAUUGCACAAUGGGCGCAAGCCUGAUGCAGCCAUGCCGCGUGUGUGAAGAAGGCCUUCGGGUUGUAAAGCACUUUCAGUCGUGAGGAAGGCGGUGUCGUUAAUAGCUGCUUCAUUUGACGUUAGCGACAGAAGAAGCACCGGCUAACUCCGUGCCAGCAGCCGCGGUAAUA
rnacentral:rRNA from 1 species